GCGUGCAGGUCCCCGAGGACCCUGGUGAUGGCUGCAGGUGUCGGCAGCACAGCGGAGGCGCUCCAGCCCCUGCAGGCAGGCUCCCCAUCUCCACGGCCCUCCUGAUCCCCAGAACAGGCGGGCGCCCCCGGCCUCCCCUCCCCAGCUCCCGCCCAGAGUGCCCGGCCCGCUCCAGGCCCUCGUGGGGCUCCUCCACAGGGCCUACUGAGCCCCCCACCUCACGGCCACAGGCAGGUGGCACGUGUGGCCGCCGUCCUCGUGGACUGUGAGCGUUUCCUGGGCAGCCAAUGGUCAGUGGCCCCGGGACACCGCGUCUCCUGUCCGCUCCGCCUUCUCCAUGUCUUCAGCUCUCCUUUUAGUAGAUGGAGGGUCCUCCUUUGCAUAAAGCACUCGGCAGGAACCGCAAACGUGCCAUUGUGAGAUGGGGCAGUACAGGGCUCAGCCUCCAGGGAGGCGCCCCCGAGGCCCGACGUAAGCAGCGCAGGCCUCCUGCUCCUCGUCUGCUGUGAAACCAGCGCGCCCUCUCCCUGGCCCACCCACCAGGUGGCCUUCUUCCUCCCAGGCUGGGCGAGCCUGUGUCCCUUCAGGGCUGCAGAAGUCAGCCAUGAGUCUGUUCAUGCCGCCUGGCCCUGGGACAGUCGGCUUUUCGCUUCUUUUCACUGAGGUGUUGGCCCUCACAGCGGCAGCUUUCCACGCUCGGGAUUCCCCGCUCGGGAUUCCCCACAGGGACCUCGCUGGGCCUCCCGCGGGCUGGCCCACCAGACCCAACCUUGGGGCUGUGCCAGGCCCGGGUUUGGGGCACAUGAGAGACAGUGUCAGGAUGGGUGAGUGUGCUCAGGUGGGCUGGCGCCCUCCCGGCUCCCUCCCCCGCCUCUGGGGACCGUGUCCGGCUGUCACUGGCCCCUGAGCCAGGACCACCAUCUCGUGUGUGCCCAGCCCUCUAAGCGGCCCACUGGGAAACUCCCUUCCUGUGGCCCCCGUGUGCGUGCGAGCACUUCAGAGGCAUCUUGAGGAAACGGGCCUCUGACGCCUCCAGAGCCCCCUUCAGCCUGGCGAUGGGACAUGGGCCCCUCCUGAAGAAUCGCACGCUCCUGAGGGCCUUGGCCACGUGAGCUGGAUGCCUGAGGUCGCCUGAGAUGGAGACAGGGCAGGGGAGCUGGGGGCCCCGAGAUGACACGUCACCUGCCCAGCAGCCCCGCGCUCCUCUGACAUCUGCCGUGGCCUCCCCAUCACUCCUCGGGCGUCAGGGCGACGGGGAGUAGCGUGUGGUCCCGCGGCCUCCUUCCAGGAAGCCAUCGCCCGCACCGUGUCGCCGGCCGGGCCUCAGGAACCAGCCCGUCUUGUCCGGGCCCCUGCACUCUCUGUGAGGCUGGAAACGCAGCUGAGGCGCUCAGAGGGAUCUGCACUCCCACCCCCACUGCAGGGCCUCAUCAAUAAUUGAUUCUGCAGAAGGCAGGGGAGUUCCAGCCAAGAGGGAAGGAAAGAUCCACGGCUCACUCAGGCGGAGCCCGGGCCAGCGAAACCCUGCAGAGACCGCCCCCCCCCCACUGUGGGCCAGGGCUGGGGGCCUGCAGGAGGCGCCCCGCCAGGCGCCCCCCAGCACAGCACCACGGGCAGGGCUACAGGACGGUUGUAUCGAUCGCCCCCGCUUUCCAAUCUUGCCUGCAGCUCCCUGGGCUGAAAGAUGAUGGAUGACAGCUGGGGGGUCAUGUGGCCACAUCCCCGCCUGAAGGGAGCCCUCCUCUGGCCCCCAAAGCUGGGGGGAUGCGGGCGCGCACAGAGCAGAGAAGCAGCAAAACACAGCCCCUCACUGCUGUGUGAGGCCAUCAGCAGUCACUCCCCACGCCGCCCAGCCCCCGUCCCCAGGCGGCCACCAGCCUACUUUCUGUUUCCAUAGAUUUGGUCUGUUCUGGACAUUUCAC